UUUCUGAUUAAAAUGUAUAAUAAGAUCAAAGUUCAGAACAGUUUAGCUGGCUUUAAAGCAGCCGCAGAUGGCCUAAAUAGCUAUGAAAAACUUAGUUUGAUGUUAGAUAGUUGUUGGUUCAUGCCUUACUCAAAAGUUUGAAAUAAAAGUUUACAAAGAUUGUGAUCUAUAAGUCAAAACACCCAAAAGUUUAGUUGCAUAAGUUGGAAAUAUGGUUGUUCUUGUGUCGGCAACCUAACUAGGUUUAUAGCCAUGAAAUUUGGAUUGAAUUAAAAGAUACUCCUCUUUUGGUUUUAUUGUAGGAUCAAAUGACAACGAUGAGCUCUGGUAUUUAUUAGCAUCAAUGUCAUCAUGGAAGGUGGCAUCUUUUAUUACAAUAUUUAGUAAUCCAACUCUGUUUUUUGCAGAAGACCUUGUCCUUUCCAAAUUUGAUUAGUUCUUCCUGAAUAAUGUCUUUUUAGCUUAUCUAUAUUGAGAUAUUUUUGUAAAAUUGUAUAAUUUGGUAAUUGUAUUCAAAGUUGGUCUUUAUGUUCAUUUAGAACUUCCCUCAUGUUUAAUUAUGUAUAAAAUAUGCUGCUAUUUUCACUUCGUAUCCAUAAUUUAUAUUCUUCUUUCUGAAUUUUGUCUGUUAUUUUUCCAAAAUUGUUGUAGCCCACUUUUUAAUACUCCGUGUCUACAAACCAUGUUCUUGUAUGGUAAUUAAACUUGUAUAACACAAUUUCCUUUACCUGAGAAAUUUUAGAGAUUUUAGCACCGAAGUCCUAUUCAUGUGAGAUUUUCAGCAAGAAUUUAUUGAACAUGACAUCUAGAUCCUUCCUAGAAUUAUUUUUGUCCAUAUUUUUUUUGUAGGAAGUAGAUCCUUUACUAGAAAACUACUGCAUCUAAUGAAUCUGCAAUUUAAACCUGCAUUUGUCAUUUUCUGAUUAAAAUAUAUAAUAAGAUCAAAGUUCAGAACAAUUUAGCUGGCUUUAAAGCAGCCGCAAAUAGCCUAAAUAGCUAUGAAAAACUUAGUUUGAUGAUAGAUAGUUGUUGGUUCAUGCCUUACUCAAAAGCUUGAAAUAAAAGUUUACAAAGAUUGUGAUUUAUAAGUCAAAACACCCAAAAGUUUAGUUGCAUAAGUUGGAAAUAUGGUUGUUCUUGUGUCGGCAACCUAACUAGGUUUAUAGCUAUGAAAUUUGGAUUAAAUUAAAAGAUACUCCUCUUUUGGUACUAUUGUAGGAUCAAAUGACAAAUAUGAGCUCUGGUAUUUAUUAGCAUCAAUGUCAUCAAGGAAGGUGGCAUCUUUUAUUACAAUAUGCAGUAAGCCAACUCUGUUUUUGACAGAAGACCUUGUCCUUUCCAAAUUGGAUUAGUUCUUCCUGAAUAAUGUCUUUUUAGCUUAUCUAUUUUGAGAUAUUUUUGCAAAAGUAUAUAAUUUGGUAAUUUUAUUCAAAGUUGGUCUUUAUGUUCUUUUGGAACUUCACUCAUGUU
rnacentral:lncRNA from 1 species